CCUACGGGAGGCAGCAGUGGGGGAUAUUGCACAAUGGGGGAAACCCUGAUGCAGCGACGCCGCGUGGGUGAAGAAGCGCCUCGGCGCGUAAAGCCCUGUCAGCAGGGAAGAAAAUGACGGUAUCUGACGAAGAAGCACCGGCUAACUACGUGCCAGCAGCCGCGGUAAUACGUAGGGUGCAAGCGUUAUCCGGAUUUACUGGGUGUAAAGGGGGCGCAGGCGGGGAUGCAAGCCAGGAGUGAAAGCCCGGGGCUCAACCCCGGGACUGCAUUUGAAACUGCGUGGCUAGAGUGCAGGAGGGGCAGGCGGAAUUCCUGGUGUAGCGGUGAAAUGCGUAGAGAUCAAGAGGAAUACCGAUGGCGAAGGCGGCCUGCUGGACUGCAACUGACGUUGAUGCACGAAAGCGUGGGGAGCAAACAGGAUUAGAUACCCGGGUAGUC
rnacentral:rRNA from 1 species